rnacentral:lncRNA from 1 species
AUGGUUAUGGAGGACAAGGAGGCCCAUUUAGCACACAACAGAAGAGGAGUGCUUGUGAAUUUCUGGAAUGGGCAGACUAAGGAGGUAACUUCCGACCAAGCUCUGCGGAUCCCUCUGCCCUUAAGUGAACGCAUCAUCCUAGAACUGCAGAUGCCUUUAGCAGCCAGGCAGAUGGUGAUAGCUUCAAGCUCAGAUUAUCCAUACAUUGUGGCACCAGGUUACAGAGCCUCAGGCCAUUGCGGACAGGAUCACUCAUACCUGGACUACUGGCCCAGGGGUCUAUAUUCAAUUCAGCCAUGUGCUAAGUGCAGCUAUAGGUGCAUCUCACUUCCCCAUCGCUGCCUUGCAGCCUGGGCACCCACACAGCCUACAAGGAGCAAAGUACAACAAGAAGAUGCCCUCGUCCCAGGAACAAACUUGACUAAAGAAGAGCUGAGCAGAAAAAUAGAAAAGCAGCUGUCUGAAGAGAAGACCUCCAUUUCAGAAGGUGUUUCCAGAGAAGAAGAGAAAAAGGAAGAGAGGAGAUUGAAGACUGAAAAUGUUCCGAAAGAUGUUAAGUCUCGUAUGGAAGAGGACAAUGAGGUUAUAGAACCUAAGAAGCAUCCUCAGAGGGAGAUGGCUCAUGCUAUGGUCGAUACCGCUGUCAACACAGAGAGCUGGUUGAUGGAGUCAGUACACAAGGAGGAAGCAGACAGCAGACAGCAGGAAGACAAUACUGAGGCUCAUCUUAAACAUGAACAUGGUGCUGAAAUUGUAGCUGUUUUAUACAACUAUAAGUUUUGCCACACAAAACCAGUGCAGCGGGCCAUUAUGUCUAAGGUCUUUCCUGUUGCUAUAGUUCUUGAUGCUUCAAAAGAAAAUGUCAUAAGGUCAUGCCAAAUAUUGCCAGCAUAAUAUAGCAAUAUUUAUUUUUAGGUAUUAAUAGUAGUAUGGUUUGAGGAGUUCACCUUCUUCUCAAUAUGAAAGUAUUCUCAGAUGGAAGUUGGGGUUUUUUUGGCCCUUACAGCUACUACGGUAGCAGCUUUUGGGUUUUAUCUUCAUGCUCACUAUAAAUAUUGCUAAUCCUAAAUUUCCUUGCCUUUAAAAAUUCAUCUGUAAUAUCAGCUAUGACUGCUUAUAGCAAAAGAUUUCGCCAGGACUGUUCUGCAGGAAACACUCAUUCUCUUCUUUGUGCUGAAAAUUACUGCUUUAUAAUGUCAUCAAGUAUACUUUUAUUCCCUUAUCAUUCAAAAGGGAUUGGAUCACGAUUUUCAAAAGCUUUUAAUCAAACCUACUCUAAUCAAUACUCUUCUUGUUUAAGCUAUAUGUGUGACAAAUAGAGGCCUUUUAAUAAGGAUUCUAA